CGGAAGAUCACUGGUUCAAUAGCCAGAAAUUUGACUUCUCUUUUCCUGCUGGGCACUGCAAUAAAUAUGCAUUGUUUGGAUUAGCAGUGAUCAGAAUGUCUUUAAAUGCAAUUUGUAGGCUUUAUGGCAGCCAUUCUUAAGUGCGAGUUGGACGCUGUUAACCUGUGGACUGCCUGUAUUCCGUAGUACUCUUUACCACUGGCCCAGAUCAACGAAGGACAAUGAAGACUACCUACACUGUUGAAGCAAACAUACUGAAAUAUAUGUAAUUUAUUUUUGCGGGUUUUUAAAAAUUAUUUCCGCGAAUAUUUACAUUUAAAUAAUUAUUUCCGCAUUGGACUAUAACUAUUUCGGGUAUUAAUACUUAUGGAAACAGGAACACUGAGCCAAAUUCAGUCCUUAUAUGAACUGAAUGCACCUUUUUGGAACAAGAUGAAGCUGACAAUAUCUGUCCUAAUAUAAACUGCCUGAGGCUGAAAACAAUCAAUGUGCUUUUCUCGGAUGCUGUGUGUGUCUGCGUGUGCAUGUGCAUGGCUCGGUGAACGCAAAGCAAUGCACACAUGCCUGGUCCUAAAUUAAAUUCCAAACUCGUGGCAUGAGAGGUUGGCACUAAUGUGGGUCAGCUCAUAACCAUCUUAAUCAAUUACAGCAAGACACUAAAAUGCAAGACUAAUUGGCAAAGCUUUCAUUUACGUCUGGCGUUCACAAAGUACCAAAGCAUGGAGCAGUUAGAUUAAAUAUUUACUGAGUGGUGUCAUUAUGUUUCCAUUAACAUUUAAAAUAGUUCAUUAAACAAGAUGCACCACUGAUGAAGUAAUUACUGAUGUUAAAUAAAACAACAUGUUUGAAAAGUCUACACUAAUGCCUCUUGUUUUUCACAACAUAAGUGACCACAGGAUUUCAUCGUAAGCAUUUCAACCAAAGUUACAUGAUGUUAAUUCAUACGUGGCUGCACUGCAAGUUUCAAGCACAACAAGUAAUUAAAUAUGAAUUUUGGCAUUCAAAUUGAGUUGGGCGCCGAAAUUAAAAACAGACAGUUGAUUAUCGCUAUCUAAUUUAUUCGUCAUUUAGAUAUAUUUUGGAUAUCUGAUUUGCUGAUGUGAGGUCCUGUUUUGAAAUAUCUGACUGUAUUAACGGAAAAUAAAUCUGGGAACACCUCAACUUUACCCCCCACUACUGUCUACCGUUGACUUGGUCGUUCCAUUGACGUGGUUUGCUUGAUACUAACACUGUAGUUCUUUCUCACUAGAUUCUAUUUUUGGUGGCAUUUGUUUGUAGAGCAUUUCCGUUGCGAGGUUUGAAGCAGCAUUUGCAUAGGUCUUCUUAACUAUCUUGUAGAUGUAGCUGGUCAGUCACUGAAGGCUUGCGGCAGUUCUGCCCAACUUGGGUCCAUGACAGCUGCAUGUAAUGUUUAUCUGCUUCACUUGUAUGCCACUUGGGACAAAUUCACCAGCCAAUUAAACAACACAAUUGAAUAACAUUAUAAUAUUUGUUUAAAUGUCUGUUGCACUAAUUAGUCUGCUGACUGAAUUCACAAUAAUACAAACACUCUAUAGGCCACAGUGGGUCUAAAGCAUUAAUCUGUUCAGACCGCUGGGACUGAGAUGUGUGUUUACCUUGAACCACUCUUGAGGCCAUAUCUUAUUGAUCAG